rnacentral:rRNA from 1 species
GACGAACGCUGGCGGCGUGCUUAACACAUGCAAGUCGAACGGACCCAAGCUUUAAGUUUACUUAGAGCUGACGGUUAGUGGCGGACGGGUGAGUAACACGUGGAUAAUCUGCCUAUGACACAGGAAUAACACUGUGAAAACGGUGCUAAUACCAGAUACACUUAUCGGGUCGCAUGUCCUGAUAAGGAAAGGAGCAAUCCGGUCAUAGAUGAGUCCGCGGCUGAUUAGCUAGUUGGUAGGGUAAAGGCCUACCAAGGCGAUGAUCAGUAGCCGGCCUGAGAGGGUGAACGGCCACACUGGGACUGAGACACGGCCCAGACUCCUACGGGAGGCAGCAGUGGGGAAUCUUCCGCAAUGGACGAAAGUCUGACGGAGCAACGCCGCGUGGGUGAUGAAGGCUCUCGGGUUGUAAACCCCUUUCAGCAGGGACGAAAUAAGACGGUACCUGCAGAAGAAGCUCCGGCUAACUACGUG